AAAGGAAUUUGAUUAUGCGUUCUCUAAAGCUUCCAAAAGGAUCCAGUCCCAGAUACGUAUUACAUUUAGUCAUCAUGGCUCCUUCGUCUCCUCUGCACAAGGGGAAGCAGCCUGUGGCCCUCACCAGAUGCAGAUAUCCAAUCUUCCAGCAAACAGAAUCGGUCUGCCUAUCCUCACAUAAGCCAAUCCAUUCUCCAUCUCCUUUAAGCAGACAUAUACUGCCUCACGAGGAAACUGACAUCCAGUAAAAGAUCAACAUUAAACAUAAGCCUGGUAGCAGAACCAUAACAGAACCCUGCACUCAUGAUGCCUUCUGAGGACUCUGCCCAUCUUCCUUGAUUAACUCCAGAAUACAGAAGCAACCCUAAAAAUGCAAGCAAACAUCCUGAAGAAGUCAGGAAUGGAUUUUUCUAAGGUUAUGUAUGACUUCAUGAAUGUCAGUCAGGAUAGACCACAACUUCAAGCUACAUGGGAAGAUUAUGACUCUUUUUUUUUUUUUUUUUUUUUUGAUAUGGAGUCUCACUGCACCCAGGCUGGAGUGCAGUGUCGUGAUCUCGGUUCACUGCAAGCUCCGCCUCCCAGGUUUAUGCCAUUCUCCUGCCUCAGCCUCCCGAGUAGCUGCGACUAUAGGUGCCCGCCACCACGCCCAGCUAAUUUUUUGUAUUUUUAGUAGAGAUGGGGUUUCACCGUGUUAGCCAGGAUGGUCUAGAUCUCCUGACCUUGUGAUCCACCCGCCUCAGCCUCCCAAGAUUAUGACUCUUGAAAAACAGACUUCAGAGCAUCAUACAUUGAACCUACCUGAAAACUGGGUGUGUACUUCCAGACAGGUCUGGGAAGCCAUCCAGACAUUCAUGUACAUUUUUUAUGUGUCAGCUGUUGCAUGAGUAUUUUGAGAAGCAGUUUUUGAGAAGUCACAGCAGGAAUCUAGCUUUUGUGUUCUGAAGUACCAGCUUUAUUGCAGCUCAAACAAAAAUAAAAAGGAAACAGUGUCAUUACCCGGCAGGUUUUUCAGUACAGUUCCAGCAGGGUUCUCUCUUUUCUAGCUCCAACAUGCUUACCUCCCCAGCCUUGUGAAAAAGAAUCUAUCUUGGCAGAACCUGAACCAAAUAUGAAACACAGUUUCAACAUUUUCCUGCCAUUUUUCCUGGGAAGUACUUUCAUCAGAACAUUUUGAUUUGCUGAGAACAUGUGUACCUCUUCUUUUGAGAGACAGAACAUUCUUUAAUUUGGUGACCUCAAGAGGCUUUUUACCUUCAACUGGA
rnacentral:lncRNA from 1 species